UACGGAGGGUGCGAGCGUUAAUCGGAAUAACUGGGCGUAAAGGGCACGCAGGCGGGCUUUUAAGUGAGAUGUGAAAUCCCCGGGCUUAACCUGGGAAUAGCAUUUCAGACUGGGAGUCUAGAGUACUUUAGGGAGGGGUAGAAUUCCAUGUGUAGCGGUGAAAUGCGUAGAGAUGUGGAGGAAUACCGGUGGCGAAGGCGGCCCCUUGGGAAUGUACUGACGCUCAUGUGCGAAAGCGUGGGGAGCAAACAGG
rnacentral:rRNA from 1 species